ACCAGCCUCUCUCAGCGAGCCAAGGUGAGCGGCAGUGGUCGAGAUGAAGGUGUUCGUGGCAGCAGCGCUCCUGGCCCUGGCGGCGGCCGAAGGCUACUUCCGCCUCCCGAACCCCUAUUCGUACUCAUGCCAUAAGGGCUUGUGUCUCAGGGAGGAAAGCACGGGGAUCAGACGGCGGCACUCGCUCGAAGAGUGUCAGAUCACGUGUGGGAAGUACGGGUCAAUAUGGCCGCAGCCGACGGGCAAAGUGGAACUGUCGAACGAAACAGUCAGCUUUUCCCCUCUUCACAUGCGGGUGACAAAGGCCGCCACUUCUGACAAUCGAGUGGCCAGAAUGCUGGACAACGCCAUCCAACACUUCACCCGUACUAUCCACUUCCUUCACCCUGACUUCCCACAAACUGAGAAGCAGCCGUUAACACCAGAGGACUUCGAGAACACAGGGCACUUCAGCCAGAAGUUCCAGAAUGAAGACCCUGCCCAGCAAGAGCAGUACCGUCAAAGGUCCGAGUAUGACAGGAAUCAGCUGCGCCAGCGACCUAGGUACAGCAGGGAAGAACCCGAGAGUUUCAUCCGAAGGUCGCCUUUCCUGCGGAAACGCAGCAACCCUGGAGUAGAAAGCCACAAUGUCAACAUCGAGAUCACUGUCACCGCCUCUGAUCACAAGCUCAGGCUCGAUACUGACGAGAGUUACAAUCUGGUCAUUCAGACUGUGGGAGAUGAAACUACCGCGACCAUCUUAGCUUCUACCUACUAUGGUGCCCGCCAUGCUCUGGAGACGCUCUCCCAACUCAUCGCUUACGAUGACAUCAAUAAUGCGGUGCAAGUCGCCGUGAUGCUCAGAUUCAAGAUGCUCCGAGCUUCAGGUAUCGUGGGUUCAUGCUGGCACUGGUCGCAAUUUCUACCCCAAGGAAGAACCUCAUGAAAACUCCUUGACUCUAUGGCUUACAACAAGAUGAACUACUUCCACUGGCACAUCAACGACGCCGCCUCCUUCCCGAUGUACUCUAACCGUGUUCCAAAGAUGACAUUACUAUGGCGCCUAUGACGCUAGAAAGGUGUACUAUCCUGAGGAUAUCAGAGAAAUCGUCGAAUAUGCCAACCUCCGUGGUAUCUCUGUGAUCCCCGAGAUAGGCGGACCUGCACAUAACGCUGCUGGCUGGCAGUGGGCCCAAAAGGAGGGCAAGGGCAAGCUAGCUCUCUGCACAGACUCGAAUGAGCCAUGGUUUGAGCUGAGCAAGGAGCCUCCAUCAGGACAGAUCAACCCAAUCAACCCAGAGGUCUACCCGAUCCUUGGCGAGCUGUACCGCGACCUCAUGGAUUACUUUGACCCUGAGAUGGUGCACAUGGGCGGUGACGAUGUAAGUUUCAAGUGCUGGCAGUCUUCUGAGGAGAUCCAGCAGUAUCUCUCCCAAAACAAGCGUGAAUCCACAAGCCGCGAGUAUUUUGAGCUGUGGAACACCUACCAGAGCAGUGCUUUCAACAGCCUCCAGGAAGCCGCUCAGGGACGCCAAGUCACACCCAUUAUUCAUUCCUCCUCGUUUGCUCGCAACUACGUCAACAAAGAUGCAUACAUUAUCCAGCUAAAUGAAAAUGCUGCUGAUACCGCAAUAGCUGACUAUAUCAACAAUGGAUACAAAGUAAUUUUCUCCAAUCAAGACCAGUGGAAUUUAGACUGCGUAACCAGUUCCUGGAUAGGUGAGAAGGCUAAUGACUGCCCUCAAGAAACACCCACAUGGGAAAGCUUCUACCGUAACAGUCCUCUUGAUAUUCUCUCUGAUCAAGGAAUCAGCAAUGCUCGGUCUGACCUUGUUGACAACCAGCAAUCCAGUAAGCUAAGGGACCUUGUCCUUGGAGGAGAAGCAACCCUUCAGAGUCAUGAAGUCGACAACAAUGGUCUCCAGUCUAAAAUCUGGCCUCGGCUCUCCGCCUUUGCCGAGAGGCUUUGGACUGACCCUACCGACAGUUCCUUCCUUGAUGCUGGCUUUACUCAAAAGAGACUCAAUAUUCAACGUACAAGGAUGGUCUCCCGUGGUAUUCGAGCUGACCCUCUCCAACCUGAGUACUGCAUGCAGGAUGAAAGUGCCUGUUACAGCAAGGAGCAACAUCGCGCUCGUACAUCUUUUGUUAACUAGUAGGUGAAGAUUUAAACGUUAUUCUUCACGUCUUAAUUAUUCUUUAUGGGGUUUUGGACCGUGCACAUGACUGAAGAUAACCAUACCAUGAGCAGCAUUUAUUGCCAUUGUAUGAUUCACUUCUCUAUUACAAUAAAUGGUAAAAAAUGUCAAA